rnacentral:rRNA from 1 species
GAUGAACGCUGGCGGCGUGCUUAACACAUGCAAGUCGAACGAAGAACCCGGAGCUUGCUCUGUGGGAUUAGUGGCGAACGGGUGAGUAACACGUGAGUAAACUGCCCUUGACUCUGGGAUAAGAGUUGGAAACGACGUCUAAUACCGGAUAGGAUCUUUGAUCGCAUGAUCUUGGGUGGAAAGUUUUUUCGUUCUGGUUUGGACUCGCGGCCUAUCAGCUUGUUGGUGAGGUAAUGGCUCACCAAGGCGUCGACGGGUAGCCGGCCUGAGAGGGUGACCGGCCACACUGGGACUGAGACACGGCCGAGACUCCUACGGGAGGCAGCAGUGGGGAAUAUUGCAGAAGGGGCGAAAGCCCGAUGCAGCAACGCCGCUUGCGGGAUGACGGCCUUCGGGUUGUAAACCGCUUUUAGUAGGGAAGAAGGGCUUCGGCUUGACGGUACCUGCAGAAAAAGGACCGGCUAACUACGUG